UAUGUGAUCGUCUCUCGCAUAUCAAUAAGCGGAGGAAAAGAAACUAACAAGGAUUCCCCUAGUAACGGCGAGUGAAGCGGGAAGAGCUCAAAUUUGAAAUCUUAAAGGGUUUCCCUUUACGAAUUGUAGUUUAAAGAAGUGUUUUCUGUUGAGGUUUUGGUAAAAGUUCUUUGGAAUAGGACAUCAUAGAGGGUGAGAAUCCCGUAUUUGACCUUUACUUUCAACUUUGUGAUACACUUUCAAAGAGUCGGAUUGUUUGGGAAUGCAGUCCAAAAUGGGUGGUAAAUUUCAUCUAAAGCUAAAUAUUAGCGAGAGACCGAUAGCGAACAAGUACCGUGAGGGAAAGAUGAAAAGAACUUUGAAAAGAGAGUUAAACAGUACGUGAAAUUGUCAAAAGGGAAGCGUUUGACACCAGUGUUGUUUUUCUGAAAAUCAAUUAAAGAACUGUUUAUGCUAAGCUGUUUAGACUUUAUCAGCUAUCUGUUUAGUUUUGAGCUUUUCUUUAAUGCACUUUUCAGUUAACAAGUCAACAUCAAUUUCUUUUGCUGUAAAAAAGCUUGAGGAAGGUGGCUUGAGAUUCGUCUUAAGUGUUUAUAGCCUCUUGCCUAUGCAGUCGGAGAGAUUGAGGUCUGCAGCGUAGAUCCUUCGGGGCUAAAUGCAUUUGUGCUAAGUUAUAGCAUUUUAUAGACAACUUGUUGACUAUGAUUUGUCUUGUAGCUUACUCGCUUAUGUUAUUUUACCUACGCUUAGGAUGUUGAACGCGCACAGAGUCUC
rnacentral:rRNA from 1 species